rnacentral:rRNA from 1 species
AUUGAACGCUGGCGGCAUGCCUUACACAUGCAAGUCGAACGGCAGCGGGGACUUCGGUCCGCCGGCGAGUGGCGAACGGGUGAGUAAUGUAUCGGAACGUACCUUUCAGUGGGGGAUAACGUAGCGAAAGUUACGCUAAUACCGCAUAUUCUGUGAGCAGGAAAGCAGGGGUUAGCAAGACCUUGCGCUGAUUGAGCGGCCGAUAUCAGAUUAGCUAGGUGGUGAGGUAAAGGCUCACCAAGGCGACGAUCUGUAGCGGGUCUGAGAGGAUGAUCCGCCACACUGGAACUGAGACACGGUCCAGACUCCUACGGGAGGCAGCAGUGGGGAAUUUUGGACAAUGGGGGCAACCCUGAUCCAGCCAUGCUGCGUGAGUGAAGAAGGCCUUCGGGUUGUAAAGCUCUUUCGGCCGGGAAGAAAUCGCAUGGGUUAAUACCCUGUGCGGAUGACGGUACCGGCAUAAGAAGCACCGGCUAACUACGUGCCAGCAGCCGCAGUAACAC